UUAAAUAGUUAGGGGUUUAAUUGAAAAGCUAAAGAAAAGUUUAGGGGUUAAUUGAAAUUUCUGCAGGACAAAAUUGUUGUAAUUAAAAAGUUGAGGGACCAAAUAGUAAUGAAGAAAAGUCCAAGGGCUAAAUGCUGAUAAGGAAAAAAGGGAAAAGAAAGAAAAAAAGAAGGAAGAGGGAGUCGACGUCGGGGGGAGAAGAAGAAGGAGGGAGAGAGGGCGUUGCUGUCCGUCGGCUCGGGGCGUGGUGGCGGUAGCUGGCGAAAGAGCCGGCGCCGGCGGCAUCAGCUUCAGUUGGCGGCAAGCGGCAGCCCGAAGAGAGAGAAAAAAAAGGAGAGAGAUGAUGCAACGGCUGUCCAGCACCGUUCAUGGCGUUUCUGGCGUCGGUAGCCACUAUUUUUGGUGGCGAUCGACUCCCAUUGGUCUUGGCUUUGUUUUGGCAGUAGCAGCGACGCGAAUGGUGGCAGAAAUUGGAAGUUCGCAGUGGAGAGAGAAAUUUGGUGGCAGUCGCGUUUUCUAGCUUUUCCGGCGAGGGAUGGAUGAUCGGAUGGCAUAUCCGGACUCUCCUCAGCUCAAGCUUCACAAUGGCGCCGGUUUCGUGGCGAUCAAACCCUGUUUAAAAAUCGACGGCCGAGAUCGUCUGUAAAUCUCUCCGGAUGAUCAGGGGUCGAAUCGAAAAAUCGGAAGCAGGGAUCGUCAUCAGCGCGUCAUUUUGAGUCUGUUGGUGCGUUCGGAUCGUCGCUCAGAUUCCGGCGGCUGGUGGCGAGUUGACCGAGCGAUCAAGCGUCUUGAUAAUCUGUCGGUUCGGCUCGCUCCAUCCGAGGCAUCGGAGCAGAGCUAUGAGGUCGUCAAAGCUUCUUCUCGCAGCUCUUACCUAGCAACCCAACUCCUUCAUCAUCGAGUGAUGUAUUUGAUUUGGUAUGUUUGACUUGUAAAAUUUUAUAUUCUCCACAGUAGAAGUAAUAGACUUAUCAGUUGUAAUUUUAUAUAGUUUCGGGUCUCGCCUAAUUCUUAUGGCAGACCGAAUUAAAUAUGUAGAAUUUAAUGGUUAAGAAAUUGUGACAUCAGUGAUAUUAGAUGAGAUGUAAUUAAGUUAAUGAGUGUCAGGCUUACUACGGGAUUCGGUGGCCUUACAUCUACCCAUUCCCUAGUGCCGGUCACGGGCCCACAGAUCGGGUCGUCACAUAGAAGACCAAUUUAAGAUCGGUUUU